GACGAACGCUGGCGGCGUGCCUAAUACAUGCAAGUCGAACGCACUUCUCGUUUAGAUUGAAGGAGCUUGCUCCUGAUUGAUAAACAUUUGAGUGAGUGGCGGACGGGUGAGUUAACACGUGGGUAACCUGCCCUAAAGUGGGGGAUAACAUUUGGAAACCAGAUGCUAAUACCGCAUAAAACCUAACACCGCAUGGUGUAGGGUUGAAAGAUGGUUUCGGCUAUCACUUUAGGAUGGACCCGCGGUGCAUUAGUUAGUUGGUGAGGUAAAGGCUCACCAAGACCGUGAUGCAUAGCGACCUGAGAGGGUAAUCGGCCACACUGGGACUGAGACACGGCCCAGACUCCUACGGGAGGCAGCUAGUAGGGG
rnacentral:rRNA from 1 species